GCUCCGACGGUCACAUACGAAUCAUUGAUCUCCUUACGCAAAACGGAACGCUAACCAGACCGCUCGUGAAGCUAUGCUUUCUGCCACCUUCCGAUGAUCGCGAAUCCAAAAACCGCAAAAACAAACCGAUUUUAUCGUGUCACAAUAAGCUAAUCAAAUGAAAACGAAAAAUACGCCAAUACCAACCGUUAACAAAUAACAACCGUCAGAUAACAAACCGUAAAUAAAAAUAACAAACCGUACAUAAAAAUAACAAACCGUAAAGAAAACUGACAAAAAAUGGUCGAUCAAUACGACGGCCCAUUCAUGCCACAUAUCGUGGCACGAUUGCCCAUAUCAACUUAUAUGACAGAUAUGUAUAAUUAACCAUCUCAUUUACCACAGAUUACCAUGGAUGUAGAUACGCCAGUUGCAAAUACGCCAACCGCUCAGGCGGUAACCAAUGUACCACGCAACGGGCCUGCACCAGCGCCCCGAACGGUAGUUGCAACAGCAUCGGCUGCUACUCCGGCAACCAAGCACCGGCAACAACGCCGGCACCUGUGCCGGUAUCCGCGCCUCGUGGUGGCACCCGACCACCACCGAUCACAUCGAGGACUUCGGAGACCCGUCGGAUUAGGUGCCCCAUCUGUCGACGCAUACAUCCUCUGCACCAUUGUGGAAUAUUCAGGGGUAUGCGACCUUUGCAACGGCAGCAAGUUGCCCAGGCCCACGGGUAUUGCCUCAACUGCCUGUCGCACACUCAUACGACUACAGAGUGUGAGUCACGUGGGCUGUGCCAACUGUGUUACCGGCCGCAUCACACGCUGCUACACCGCAGCUCGUCACGCGAAGUUAACCGGCCACCCAACCAUCGCGGCCACGUAUCUCGACUUCCACCCGCUGAUCGUGUCAUACACCAGCGAAGUGGAACCUCGGUGCGGCGUCGACAGACUGGACCACCAUCUCGCCGAUCCACGGGUCUGAGCAAUGUUGUGGCAACGGUGCAACAGCUGCAGCGCCUUUUAGGCUAAACAGUCGUUUAGGGGGACCUGGGUGAUUAAAUGAGCUUCUGCGCCCCCCUCUUAAUAUAAGAUAGCUACAUCCCACACUACACACCCUAUUCUCAACACAUCGGCAUGAUGCCCACCGCAUCAUCAUCUACACCAUACCUUCACACACGAGGACACCAGAACAUAAUCAACAAAAGGGACCGACGGACGGCGCCAGCCUCUCUUUUGUUUUCGGUCCGUGCGCAUACUCGUACACGCAGUCAACUCUACUUUUUUAACUUCGAUUUCGUUACAAGGUGAUUCUGGUUAUCCACUACACGAGUAUCUAUGGACGCCUUUCCGAAACGCUUUACCAGGAACAGUGGAAUCAAAUUUUAAUAAGAAACAUGCAAAGGCAAGGAACGUAGUUGAACGGACAAUUGGAGUGCUGAAAUGCCGUUUUCGUUGUAUACUAGGUGAACGUAAACUACGACAUCCUCCUAGUAAAGCAACUGUUAUUGUAAAUGUUUGUUGUGCUUUACACAAUAUUUGCAAACAAUAUAAUGUGAAUGAUCCUGAAGAAGAAACUUUUGUUGAUGUGGUAGUACCACUGGAACCAGUUGAAGGAAACUUCAGUGGAACAGCAGCAGAUCAUCGCCGAAGACAAAUUGCGAAUGCAUUGUCAUAGUAUAGUUGCAUCCCCAAAAUAUAUGUACAUAUAUGUAACAUAACUACAAUAAAAUAACUGAAAUUAAUUUUGAAUUGCAGGAGAUUCUCGAAUCAAAUAAACGUUCGCCAAAUUUUGACAGUUGAGGCGGAGCGAAUUUUAAAAAUUCGCAAGUGGCAAUACCAAAUAUUCAUUUUCGCUAGUUCUUUCGCCACAUGACCGAAAAUCACUCUGGCGCUACGACAUCGGUCCGAUCCACACACGACUCCUUUUUGGCUACUUUAGUUUUACCUUUUUUGCGAACAUCUUGUUCAAAAUUAAAACAUUUUUAUACCUAUGUUGUGAAAGAAUAAAUACAAAAGUUUACAUUUUCUUGCGUUAAAUUCAAAUAUACUUGUACUUGUAUUUUAUUCUUUUGUGAGUGAAUAAAUUCAAAAGUUUAUAACAACUUGAA